GGGGGAGAUAGGACAGAGGCUUUUAGCAACUAGGGGAAGUUUCACGAGGAGGAGGGGCUGACACCUGAAGCAGAGAUGAGAGUCCAAAAGGCAGUAGGUGGGCGGGGAUCUGUGUCUGCAGAAGUUCAGCGGUGAAGGCUACACCAGGAAAUCUCAAGACACAGAAAAGAUCAACUACACUGGAGCUGGGGGGACGUGAAGGAGAAAAAAGGGGAAAAACAGAUGAACUUCUGCUCCCUAUCACCUAGGUAGCACCAAAUAAUGUCAUUUUCUUGACAAAUGUAAGAGGGAUGAACAUGCAGAAGCCGAACAGCAUUCCAUGAUGUUCACAAGAUGUUGGACAGAUGCACCAGUUCGGAAUAUUUCCACGCAAUGUCUUAAAGAUACCAGCGGGUUCCACAGCUCAGGAUGAAGGAGCAGGAGCAUCUUUCAAAACAACCACAUGGCUACCACAGAUGGUCCUUUAGUGCCCUGUGAAAGCGUGUUGGGAAAGCGCAAGCACAGUCCCCCACUACCACAAAUUAUGCAGUCGAGUAUCCCACAUUUGGGAAAAUCGCAGGGGUCAGCAUAUCCGGAGUGCGAUGGAUAAGCCUCGCCCUGGGAAAACCACCUUCGUGAUCAUGGUAUCUCCACUGCCAGAGAUGAGAAACAGCCACACACAGAGGGAAGACCACGUGAGGACACAGAGAGAAGACACCACCUACAAGCCAAGAAGAGAGGCCCCAGGAGAAACCAACCCUGUUGGCACCUUGAUCUUGGACUUCUAGCCUCCAGAACUGAAAGACAAUAAAUUUCUGUCAUCUAAGUCA